GAUCAUGGCUCAGGAUGAACGCUGGCGGCGUGCCUAACACAUGCAAGUCGAACGGGGUGUCUGACCUUCGGACUGGACACUUAGUGGCGGACGGGUGAGUAACGCGUGGGUAACCUGCCUCAUACAGGGGGAUAGCAGUUGGAAACGACUGAUAAUACCGCAUAAGCGCACAGUACCGCAUGGUACAGUGUGAAAAACUCCGGUGGUAUGAGAUGGACCCGCGUCUGAUUAGCUUGUUGGCGGGGUAACGGCCCACCAAGGCGACGAUCAGUAGCCGGCCUGAGAGGGUGAACGGCCACAUUGGGACUGAGACACGGCCCAAACUCCUACGGGAGGCAGCAGUGGGGAAUAUUGCACAACGGGGGAAACCCUGAUGCCAGCGACGCCGCGUGAAGGAUGAAGUAUUUCGGUAUGUAAACUUCUAUCAGCAGGGAAGAUGAUGACGGUACCUGACUAAGAAGCCCCGGCUAACUACGUGCCAGCCGCAGC
rnacentral:rRNA from 1 species